rnacentral:rRNA from 1 species
GACGAACCGUGCGAACGUUAUUCGGAAUCACUGGGCUUAAAGCGCGUGUAGGCGGCCCGGCACGUCCGUCGCUGAAAUCCCCCCGGCUCAACCGGGGAAGUGGCGUGGAUACGACCGGGCUGGAGGGGGGUAGGGGGAGCCGGAACUUCCGGUGGAGCGGUGAAAUGCGUUGAGAUCGGAAGGAACGCCCGUGGCGAAAGCGGGCUCCUGGACCCCACCUGACGCUGAGACGCGAAAGCGUGGGGAGCGAACAGGAUUAGAAACCUACGUAGUCAGUCCAAGACCAGUCUCGUCUGACCUGACCG